rnacentral:rRNA from 1 species
GACGAACGCUGGCGGCGUGCUUAACACAUGCAAGUCGAACGGAAAGGCCCUGCUUUUGUGGGGUGCUCGAGUGGCGAACGGGUGAGUAACACGUGAGUAACCUGCCCUUGACUUUGGGAUAACUUCAGGAAACUGGGGCUAAUACCGGAUAGGAGCUCCUGCUGCAUGGUGGGGGUUGGAAAGGUUCGGCGGUUGGGGAUGGACUCGCGGCUUAUCAGCUUGUUGGUGGGGUAGUGGCUUACCAAGGCUUUGACGGGUAGCCGGCCUGAGAGGGUGACCGGCCUCAUUGGGACUGAGAUACGGCCCAGACUCCUACGGGAGGCAGCAGUGGGGAAUAUUACGCAAUGGGCGGAAGCCUAAUGCAGCGACGCCGCGUUCGGAAUGACGGCCUUCGGGUUAUAAACCGCUUUCGCCUGUGACGAAGCGUGAGUGACGGUAAUGGGUAAAGAAGCACCGGCUAACUACGUG